rnacentral:rRNA from 1 species
UACGGAGGGUGCAAGCGUUAUCCGGAUUCACUGGGUUUAAAGGGUGCGUAGGUGGGCAGGUAAGUCAGUGGUGAAAUCUCCGGGCUUAACCCGGAAACUGACCGUUGAUACUAUUAGUCUUGAAUUAUGUUGAGGUUGGCGGAAUAUAACAUGUAGCGGUGAAAUGCAUAGAUAUGUUAUAGAACACCGAUUGCGAAGGCAGCUAACUAAGCAUAAUAUUGACGCUGAGGCACGAAAGCGUGGGGAUCAAACAGGA